rnacentral:rRNA from 1 species
UUUUUUUAUUAAAGUAAUCAAUAGUUUCCUCUGCAGAGUAAACAGAAGACAAAGAACAGAGAAUUAGGAAAACAAAACUUUGGAGGUGUCUGAACCAGGUACAUUUAUAGUAAGAGCUAGCAUCGCUGGCCUGGAAGAGGUCGUUGAGGUGUUAGAUACCCUUGGCAGCUUACUAGUGUGGGUAAAAGGAUAAAAAGGAGAAGAUGAAAGCCGUGAGCUUAAAAAAGAUUCACUUUUUGAUGAUAGUCUAGGAUCUUCGAGUUCUGUCUUUUGGCGUCUGGACACUGGGUAGGCCACAAUCUGGUCCGUUCAAAUGGGCUUUGGGAUUUGGAAUCUGUCAGGCUGGUGACAGGCUAGCUAGGCAACAAAUAUGGGUCGGUAUACCCCCUAUUAGAAGCCUAAUAGAACAUGUUUAGCCCAUUUGCCUGCUCGUAUUUGUCCGCUUAACCUUGCCGCAUUGUCCUUCACCAGAUGUCUUGGCUCAUGCGUCUCUUUCUCUCUCCCCAAACGUGACGGAGGCGCCGUUACUCUCGAGCAAGAUGUGUUUCCUGAAUGUUGACGAUCACAGCUACGUCUUUUUUCGAUCCACCCAUUAUGACCGCGCUUAGAGCUGCUUCAUAUUUCAUGGAUUUGAGUUCCUUUACCUAAGCAACCCUGCUUCUGCAGGAUUGUGUUUUCCCACUGGACUUAAUAUUUUGAUUAUGUUUUUUUUUCUUUUUGCUGCUAAAUCCAUGUGCCUGUUUAGGUUGUUAUUCGUUUAGUUGGAAAAAGUUGUGGUUUCCCUAUCGUUGAUUCGUUUACUCCUAUUGUCCUCAUAUCCCAUAUUUACGAGUGGAUGUGUGCUCACAACAAGGGCUUUCACAACACUUUGGCAAGAGUAUUAAUUUCUAGUUUUUGGACUGGAUUGUGAUCACAGUUGCUACCAAAAACACUUAAAAUAAAAAUUGGCAUGGGUAUGAGGCCUUGAUUCUUACAACUAUAUUUUUGUGGUCGAGAUCAUCACGAUCUUAAUUUGUGCUCCGGAAAACAACCAUUAAGACGUUCUUACAAUGCCUCGAAGUGGGGAUUGUGUUCAAAUUACAUCUUCACCGAAACAUGCCCUGCAUCAAGAGUUAGUUGUCCAACCAUAGGCCCCUUUGAUGUCACUUGAAGCUACGUGGGUAUUUCCAAAAGAGGAAGGGAUGAUGCAGCACAGCGGCGGUAGGUAUUUCCCUCAGAUAUGAAACCAAGCUUAUCGAACCAGUAGGACAACCAAGCAACCCAAUGUAAACAGCCCCUGCACACAGAUAACAAAUCUUCGCAACCCGAUGUGUGAAAGGGGUUGUCAAUCCCCUUCGGGUAGCGGUGCCAAAAAUUGGUGCGUGACGGGAAAAUGGUUGUAAUUGAUUGGAUAAAUAGAUCGCAAAUAAAAUAAAGUGCAGAAAAGUAUUUUUGUAUUUUUGGAUUAAUAGAUCUGAAAAUAAAUGCAAAUAAAAGUAGAUCGCAAAGGCAAAUAAUAUGAGAAAGAGACCCGGGGGGGCGUAGAUUUCACUAGUGGCUUCUCUCGAGAAAAAUAGCAAAGCGGUGGGUGAACAAAUUACUGUUGGGAAAUUGAUAGAACUUCAAAUACUCAUGACGAUAUCCAGGCAAUGAUCAUUACAUAGGUAUCACGUCCAAGAUUAGUAGACCGACUCCUGCCUGCAUCUACUACUAUUACUCCACACAUCGACCGCUAUCCAGCAUGCAUAUAGUGUGUUAGGUUCAUGGAGAAAUGGAGUAAUGCAAUAAGAACGAUGACAUGAUGUAGACAAGACCUAUCUAUGUAGAGAUAGACCCCAUCGUUCUAUCCUUAGUAGCAACGAUACAUACGUGUCGGUUCCCUUUCUGUCACUGGGAUCAAGCACCGUAAGAUCGAACCCACUACAAAGCACCUCUUACCAUUGCAAGAUAAAUAGAUCAAGUUGGCCAAACAAAACCCAAAUAUAGGAGAAGAAAUACGAGGCUAUAAGAGAUCAUGCAUAAAAGAGAUCGAAGAAACUCAAAUACUUUCAUGGAUAUAAAAACAUAGAUAUGAUCAUAAACUCAAAGUUCAUCGAUCCCAACAAACACACCGCAAAAAGAGUUACAUCAUAUGGAUCUCCAAGAGACCACUAUAUUGAGAAUCAAGAGAAAGAGAUGAAGCCAUCUAGCUACUAACUACGGACCCGAAGGUCUACAAAGAACUACUCACGCAUCAUCGGAGAGGCACCAAUGGAGGUGGUGAACCCCAUCCGAGAUGGUGUCUAGAUUGGAUCUGGUGGUUCUGGACUCUGCGGCGGCUGGAUCAAUAUUUCGUCGACUCCCCUAGGGUUUCUGGAAUAUUGGGGUAUUUAUAGAGCAAAGAGGCGGUCCGGGGGGCACCCGAGGUGGGCACAACCCACCAGGGCGCGCCUGGGCCUCCUGGCGCGCCCUGGUGGGUUGUGCCUCCCUCGGGGCACCCCCCAGGCGCAGCCAGGGCCCGUUUGUGUUCCUUCUGGCCCAUAAAAAUUCUCCGUAAAGUUUCAUGGCAUUUGGACUCCAUUUGAUAUUGAUUUUCUGCGAUGUAAAAAACAUGGAAAAAACAGCAACUGGCACUUGGCACUAUGUCAAUAGGUUAGUACCAAAAAUGAUAUAAAAUAACUAUAAAAUGAUUAUAAAACAUCCAAGAUUGAUAAUAUAAUAGCAUGGAACAAUCAAACAUUAUAGAUAUGUUGGAGACGUAUUAGCAUCCCCAAGCUUAACUCCUACUCGUCCUCGAGUAGGGAAGUGAUAAAAACAGAAUUUUUGAUGUGGAAUGCUGCCUAACAUGUAUCAUAUUUCUUUCUUUAUAGCAUGGUCAUUUGGACUUUUAUAUUCUUCAAAUCAAUAGUCUAGUUUUGACAUGAUAAUUUAAAUACUCAAGCAUAUCAACAAGUAACCAUGUCUUUCAAAAUAUCAACGCUAAAAUAAGCUAUCCCUAGCCCAUCAUGCUCAACCUUUGAUCCAUUCAUGAAACACACUCACAUAUUAGCUAUGUCCAAUACUCAAGUACGAUCAUAUUGCCUCCUAGUUGGUGCUUUUAUAAGAGAAGAUGGAGACUCAAAUUCAAAAAAAAUUUGCAUAAAAUAAAAGAUAGGCCCUUCGCAGAGGGAAGUAGGGAUUUGUAGAGGUGCCAGAGCUCAAAGCGAAAAACUUAGAGAUAAAAACAUUUUGGGAGGUGUAUCCAUCCCACCAACGGAAACGACUUAGAGUUCCCAAUACUUUCCAUGCAUAGAUAUAUCAUAGGCGGUUCUCAAAUAGAAAAUAAAGUUUAUUCAUUUUUCCACCAAACUUUCACUUUCCAUGGCUAACCGUAUCCACGGGUGCCCUCCAUACCAACACUUUCCAAGGAAUUUAUUAUUUGACAACAUAAAGUAAAUUCAUUUUUUUGCAUUUCGGGACUGGGCAUCCCUAAUACCUUUGCCUUACUCUCGUGCAAUGACAAGUGAAUAAACACUCAUCUUGAGAAUAACACAUCUAGCAUGGAAAAUAUUAGCCACCCCUCACCGCUCCACGAGCGAAACAAACACACAAAAGAGAAGUUUAUUUUUGAAAAUUAGAGAUGGCACAUGCAAAUUUGCUUAGAAAGGCAAAAGAAUACCACAUAUUGCUAGAUAUAGUGGACUCAUGUGGCAAAACUUGGUUAAAGGUUUUUGGAUGCACAAGUAGAGAUCAUACUUAAUGCAAAAUGAAGGCUAGCAAAAGAUUGAGAAGCGACCAACCAAGAAACGAAUAUUCUCAUAAGCGAGCAUUAAGCAUAACUAACACCGCAUAAUGCACCAUACGUAGGAUAUAAUUUCAUUGCAUAACUAUUGACUUUCGUGCUUGCAUAGGGAAUCACAAACCUUAACACCAAUAUUCUUACUAAAGCAUAAUUACUCAUCAGGAUGACUCACAUAUCUCAUCAUCAUAUCUCAAAACUAUUACUAAGAAUCAAGUUUAUUUUGUGCAAUGAUCUUCAUGAAAGUUUUUAUUAUAUCUUUCUUGGAUAUCUACCACUUUGGGACUAAUUCUCAUUUGUUGCUUUUGACAAUCUCAAACAAAUAUAAGUGAAGAUAAUGAGCAUAAUAUUUCUUUCUCUCAAAUUAAUUUAAGUGAAGCAAGAGAGAAUUUCUUGAAAAUUUUACUAACUCUCAAACAAAUCUAAGUGAAGCAAGAGAGCAUUUCUUCGAAAAUACUAAAGCACACCGUGCUCAAAAAGAUAUAAGUGAAGCACUAGAGCAAGUCCAUAGCUUAUAAAAAAAUUAAGUGAAGCAUAGAGAGCAAUUCUAACAAGUCAUGACAUAAUUUUGGCUCUCUCAAAUAGGUGUGUCCAGGAAGGGAUCAAGACUUAAAACACAAAAUAAAACAAGCAAAGACUCAGAUCAUACAAGACGCUCCAAGCAAAACACAUAGUAUGUGACGAAUAAAAAUAUAGUUCCGAGUAAAAUACCGAUGGUCGUUCCGAGUAAAAUAAGUGAAGCACUAGAGCAAGUCCAUAGCUUAGUUGGUCGCUCAUUUUUGAAUAAUAGCUUGGGAUGCCGGGUGAUACGUCUCCAACGUAUCUAUAAUUUUUUAUUGUUCCAUGCUAUUAUAUUAUCUGUUUUGGAUGUUUAAUGGGCUUUAUUAUACACUUUUAUAUUAUUUUUGGGACUAACAUAUUAACCCAAGGCCCAGUGCAAAUUGCUGUUUUUUGCCUAUUUUAGUGUUUCGCAGAAAAGGAAUAUCAAAUGGAAUCCAAACGGAAUGAAACCUUCGGGGGAGUGAUUUUUGGAACAAACAUGAUCCAGAGGACUUGGAGUGGAUGUCAAGAAAGAAGCGAGGAGGCCACGAGGUAGGGAGGCGCGCCUACCCCCCUGGGCGCGCCCCCACCCUCGUGGGCUCUCGCAACUCCACCGACCUACUUCCUCCUCCUAUAUAUACCCAUAUACCCCGAAAACAUCCAGGAGCACCACGAAACCCUAUUUCCACCGCCGCAACCUUCUGUAACCGUGAGAUCCCAUCUUGGGGCCUUUACCGGCGCGCCGCCGGAGGGGGAAUCGAUCACGGAGGGUUUCUACAUCAACACCAUAGCCUCUCCGAUGAUGUGUGAGUAGUUUACCUCUGACCUUUGGGUCCAUAGUUAUUAGCUAGAUGGCUUCUUCUCUUUCUUUGGAUCUCAAUACAAAGUUCUCCUCGAUCUUCUUGGAGAUCUAUUCGAUGUAACUCUUUUUGCGGUGUGUUUGUCGAGAUCCGAUGAAUUGUGGAUUUAUGAUCAAGAUUAUCUAUGAACAAUAUUUGAAUCUCCCC